rnacentral:rRNA from 1 species
UGGUGGAGUGAUUUGUCUGGUUAAUUCCGAUAACGAACGAGACUCUGUCCUGCUAACUAGGUUGUGUUUUCUUGGGUUGGUGUUCUGGUGUUCCUUCUCGGGGCGCCGGCCCAAUCCACUUGUGAACACAACACUCUUCUUAGAGGGACUGGCGGCUGUUAGCCGCACGAGAUAGAGCAAUAACA